GUUGUAUGGUUAAGUGACUAAGCGUACACGGUGGAUGCCUGGGCAGUCAGAGGCGAUGAAGGACGUACUAACUUGCGAUAAGCGCAGAUAAGGCAGUAAGAGCCGUUUGAGUCUGCGAUUUCCGAAUGGGGAAACCCAACUGCAUAAGCAGUUACUGUUAACUGAAUACAUAGGUUAACAGAGCAAACCGGGGGAACUGAAACAUCUAAGUACCCCGAGGAGAAGAAAUCAACCGAGAUUCCGGUAGUAGCGGCGAGCGAACCUGGAUUAGCCCUUAAGCACUCGGUGAAGUAGGUGAACAAGCUGGAAAGCUUGGCGAUACAGGGUGAUAGCCCCGUAACCGACGCUUCAUCGAGCGUGAAAUCGAGUAGGGCGGGACACGUGAUAUCCUGUCUGAAUAUGGGGGGACCAUCCUCCAAGGCUAAAUACUCCUGACUGACCGAUAGUGAACCAGUACCGUGAGGGAAAGGCGAAAAGAACCCCUGUGAGGGGAGUGAAAUAGAACCUGAAACCGUGUACGUACAAGCAGUAGGAGCACCUUCGUGGUGUGACUGCGUACCUUUUGUAUAAUGGGUCAGCGACUUAUAUUCAGUGGCAAGGUUAACCGUAUAGGGGAGCCGUAGCGAAAGCGAGUCUUAACUGGGCGCUCAGUCUCUGGAUAUAGACCCGAAACCGGGUGAUCUAGCCAUGGGCAGGUUGAAGGUUGAGUAACAUCAACUGGAGGACCGAACCGACUAAUGUUGAAAAAUUAGCGGAUGACUUGUGGCUAGGGGUGAAAGGCCAAUCAAACUCGGAGAUAGCUGGUUCUCCCCGAAAGCUAUUUAGGUAGCGCCUCGGACGAAUACUACUGGGGGUAGAGCACUGUUAAGGCUAGGGGGUCAUCCCGACUUACCAACCCUUUGCAAACUCCGAAUACCAGUAAGUACUAUCCGGGAGACACACGGCGGGUGCUAACGUCCGUCGUGGAGAGGGAAACAACCCAGACCGCCAGCUAAGGUCCCAAAGUAUUGCUAAGUGGGAAACGAUGUGGGAAGGCUCAGACAGCUAGGAUGUUGGCUUAGAAGCAGCCAUCAUUUAAAGAAAGCGUAAUAGCUCACUAGUCGAGUCGGCCUGCGCGGAAGAUGUAACGGGGCUAAGCAAUACACCGAAGCUGCGGCAAUGUCUUUUAGACAUUGGGUAGGGGAGCGUUCUGUAAGCCGUUGAAGGUGAAUCGUAAGGUUUGCUGGAGGUAUCAGAAGUGCGAAUGCUGACAUGAGUAACGACAAAGGGGGUGAAAAACCUCCUCGCCGGAAGACCAAGGGUUCCUGUCCAACGUUAAUCGGGGCAGGGUGAGUCGACCCCUAAGGUGAGGCCGAAAGGCGUAAUCGAUGGGAAACGGGUUAAUAUUCCCGUACUUCUGACUAUUGCGAUGGGGGGACGGAGAAGGCUAGGUGGGCCAGGCGACGGUUGUCCUGGUUCAAGUGCGUAGGCUUGAGAGUUAGGUAAAUCCGGCUCUCUCUAAGGCUGAGACACGACGUCGAGCUGCUACGGCAGUGAAGUCAUUGAUGCCAUGCUUCCAGGAAAAGCCUCUAAGCUUCAGAUAGUCAGGAAUCGUACCCCAAACCGACACAGGUGGUCGGGUAGAGAAUACCAAGGCGCUUGAGAGAACUCGGGUGAAGGAACUAGGCAAAAUGGUACCGUAACUUCGGGAGAAGGUACGCUCUUGAUGGUGAAGUCCCUCGCGGAUGGAGCUGACGAGAGUCGCAGAUACCAGGUGGCUGCAACUGUUUAUUAAAAACACAGCACUGUGCAAAAUCGCAAGAUGACGUAUACGGUGUGACGCCUGCCCGGUGCCGGAAGGUUAAUUGAUGGGGUUAGCGCAAGCGAAGCUCUUGAUCGAAGCCCCGGUAAACGGCGGCCGUAACUAUAACGGUCCUAAGGUAGCGAAAUUCCUUGUCGGGUAAGUUCCGACCUGCACGAAUGGCGUAAUGAUGGCCACGCUGUCUCCACCCGAGACUCAGUGAAAUUGAAAUCGCUGUGAAGAUGCAGUGUACCCGCGGCUAGACGGAAAGACCCCGUGAACCUUUACUACAGCUUGGCACUGAACAUUGAACCUACAUGUGUAGGAUAGGUGGGAGGCUAUGAAGACGUGACGCCAGUUGCGUUGGAGCCGUCCUUGAAAUACCACCCUUGUAUGUUUGAUGUUCUAACUUAGACCCAUUAUCUGGGUUGAGGACAGUGCCUGGUGGGUAGUUUGACUGGGGCGGUCUCCUCCCAAAGAGUAACGGAGGAGCACGAAGGUGGGCUAAUCACGGUUGGACAUCGUGAGGUUAGUGCAAUGGCAUAAGCCCGCUUAACUGCGAGAAUGACGGUUCGAGCAGGUGCGAAAGCAGGUCAUAGUGAUCCGGUGGUUCUGUAUGGAAGGGCCAUCGCUCAACGGAUAAAAGGUACUCCGGGGAUAACAGGCUGAUACCGCCCAAGAGUUCAUAUCGACGGCGGUGUUUGGCACCUCGAUGUCGGCUCAUCACAUCCUGGGGCUGAAGUCGGUCCCAAGGGUAUGGCUGUUCGCCAUUUAAAGUGGUACGCGAGCUGGGUUUAGAACGUCGUGAGACAGUUCGGUCCCUAUCUGCCGUGGGCGUUGGAAGAUUGAAGGGGGCUGCUCCUAGUACGAGAGGACCGGAGUGGACGAACCUCUGGUGUUCGGGUUGUGUCGCCAGACGCAUUGCCCGGUAGCUAAGUUCGGAAUUGAUAAGCGCUGAAAGCAUCUAAGCGCGAAGCGAGCCCUGAGAUGAGUCUUCCCUGA
rnacentral:rRNA from 1 species